ensembl:lncRNA
GCUCUUCUCUUGGUGAGAUGUAGAUGCGUUUCCCCUUGCUGUUUAUUGAUAUUCUGUUUCCCUAAAUACGGACCUAUUUGUCUCCGCUGUCUCCCCUCCGCCCCAGCCGUACACCGGACCUAAGAGGAUGGGCGGAUCAGGGAGGAGGCGGAGAGGGGCAGAAAAGGAAAACUAUCCGUGAUUGAUAGGCAAUUUCAAUGCCUGUGGCGUCUGGAGAAUCACCAAGGUGACGAAGCAGAUGAAGAGCACAGAGCUUGUGGUGGCCCUGUCUCCAGUGCACAUCUGAACUGCUAAUUCUGUUCUUCACCGUUAUAGUAUUUCGGGGACAUCUUGCAUUCUGUAACCCAAAAGAAAAACCCCAGGUUUUCUCCAGCCAAUGGUCGACUGGAACAGUAUCUACAGUCACUUCCCAAACUGCCGCUUAACAGAAAGCACAGAAUGAGAAUGAGGCAGCAGAGGAGAAGCUUAAUGUGUCCCCGCGGGUCACAGGUGACUGAUUCUGCCAAGCAGGACACGCUCUUGGAUUCACCUCAGUGUCACCGUGUCAGUAUUCUCAAAAUACAAGCGCCGGUCCUUUCCUGAUGGAUCUGCAGUGAGGAAACCGUGUCAGAAAGCUGCCAGGCAGCCAAACAGGUGCUCGGCACAACCCUCAGUCCUCACAGACUUCCCCGCUGUUGUGUAUUUAUAUACAGUUGACUCGAGAACCACAUCCGCCCACCUUCCCCCUGUCUGUCUCUCAGAUCCAAGAUCUUAUCAGCUGCUUGAAACUGAAGUGUUAGACUGCUGCCUGCACAGACUUUAAGUCCAGAUAAGAGAUGUAGACAUUUCAGAUUAGUGCUGACAGAGUUCAACAAAAAUCAAGUGCUUCUACCCAACAGGACACUAGGGCAAGUCUGUGGAGAUGUGUUCCUGACAAAUAAACAGCUUGUAAAUUGAGAUGUUAAUGAAUGGAGUCAUGUGGAUUGCUGUGAUGUUUUUAUCUGCUGUUUGGACUCUCAUUCUGACGGCACCCAUUCACUGCAGAGGAGCCAUUGGUGGUGAGCAAGUGAUGAAAUGAUAAGUUUCCCCAAAUCUCUUCCGAUGAAAAAACAAACAAUUUUUAGAUGGCCAUUUUUAUUUUUUUGGAGUGCUGAUUGAGUAAGUCAUGUUUUAUUUGAACAGAAGCCACAACAAACAGAACAGUUCGUCUCCAUCAAAGCAACAAACAAACCACUUCAGGUUUUUUAGUUGAGUUUAUUUUGCACAAGCAUAAAAUAAAUACAAUAAAAACAAAAUACAGCUUAAUAUUUUAACUGUGUUUGCCAAGCAGUGUUAUACAAUUAUAAUGCAUAUAAUGCACGUAGUUAUAUUGCUAUAGUUUUCUGCUUUUCAGAACUUUUACAGUUAUGAUAUGAUAGUUAAGAUCAUAUAAAAUGUGAAUGUAAAAACUGAAUGUGUGAAGUAUUAAUGUUCGUAGUCCUCCUCCCUCGUCUGGGAAGUUGCGGCUCUCAUCAGUAAGUCAAGGAGGACAGCGGGGCCAGAGGCCAGUCUGAGGGACGCUGUUAAUAUAUUUUACUCUAAGCCUUUUCAACACCAGGAUUUAUAUUGUAUUAAAACCAGUCCUGACACACUGAGGUUGCUUCUCUCCCAGCUUCAACCUUGAGAGCAAUGGCAUUGUCCCUCUCCCACAGCUCUCUCGAGGGACAGAAAAAAAAGGACGUAUUAAGAGGAGUGAGAGGUGUAGAUGGACUGCCAUCAUGUGGCCCUGCUGCCCACUGCUUCUGCAGAGAGAGGAGAAACUGACCCACAGACGCUCACCUUCUGCAUGGCGGGUAGUGCAGCGAUGCUACCAUGUUUUACAUUUACAUUGAAUCAUUUAGCAGACUCUUUUAUCCAAAGCGACUUACUAAUGUGGACAUUAGAAGCAAUCAAAACAACAAAAGGUCAAGUCAAGUCACCUUUACUGUUUUUAUUCAUAUCAUUAUGCUUUAUUUGCUCUGUUUUAUUCUGUGAAAUCUUACUACGUAUAUACAUAUAUUUUGCAUAUACAUUUAAAGUAAACAUAUUUUGAAUUUGAUUUUAUUUGCAUAUUUUCAGUUUCCAUUUUAAUAACUGUUUUUUUAUUCAUUUCUAUUUAGGUUUUAUUUAUUUUAUUUAGAUUUUAUUAAUUUAAGUAUUUAGUAAAUUGUAGUACUCGGUUAAUUUCAGUUUAUAUGCAUGUAUGCAUACUCUAUAUAUAUUUCAUAUCUUUUAAUGUAUUUCAUUCAAAUAUAUCAUCACUGAACAGUACCUCUUCAGAGUUUGUCAGUCAAUCAGAUUUAACAGCUUGUCCUGUUGGCUACAUUGCAUGCAGCUCCUUAGGAUAAGAUGUAUUUUCUUGCUAUUAUUUCUUGAUAUACAACCUUGAUAUACAAGUCUUAUCUUAGAUUUGAACCGCAAAAUAUGACUUCUUUUGCCAUGGUGCUGUUGAUUCAGCAGCAUGAAAUAAAUUUAUCCCAGGGUAAAAUAUGAACCUUGUAUCCAUGUGAACCUAUAUGCCAAACUCUUACUGUAUGCUAACGUAUUACUGCUUCUUUGUCAAAAAAAAAAGGUACAAAUAAAAAUAUAGUUCUUUU